CUUGCAGCAGAAGGCCCGAGGACCAAGUGUUGCAUCUGUGGCACGCACGGCCACAGGGCAGAGAGAAUGGCCCAACACCCCAGGCCAUGCCUACGGUUGAUGGCAGCAGCCUGAGCCUAUCGCACUGUUGCCCACUGAUGUUGGUGACUUUCUUGCAGCAGAAGGCCCGAGGACCAAGUGUUGCAUCUGUGGCACGCACGGCCACAGGGCAGAGAGAAUGGCCCAACACCCCAGGCCAUGCCUACGGUUGAUGGCAGCAGCCUGAGCCUAUCGCACUGUUGCCCACUGAUGUUGGUGACUUUCUUGCAGCAGAAGGCCCGAGGACCAAGUGUUGCAUCUGUGGCACGCACGGCCACAGGGCAGAGAGAAUGGCCCAACACCCCAGGCCAUGCCUACGGAUGAUACAGUCGACUAUGCAGCUCGUACUGUUUUCCACUGCUGUUGUUGAUUUGCAGCAGAAGGUCAUCGGACCAAGCUCAACAUGAAUCCAUCACUGAGAAGCACAGAGAAAUGAUAAUGAAUAUAAUGAGACCAGCAACUACUUCAUGGUUCAAUGGCAACAAGGAAGCAUUAUGAAGUUCAGCUGUCAAAGAAUGAUUGAUGAAAAAGACCUACUCCAGAAGUCUCUACAGGGAAUGAUUAAGACCAGGAAAUAUGUGAAUGAAGACUACUCAGACCAACAUUUUUCACCAUAUAUUAUACAAAAGCCAUACUCUGAAGAUGAAUUGGAAACAUUAUGGACGGUGCCAUCUCUUCCACCAGCAGAUUCCUCAAGACAGUCGUCAUUAUACUUGCUGAUGUCUCUUUCCUGUGUAGCAGCAGACACCAUCUGCAGAUAAGAAAUGCUUAACUGAGAAAUGCUCAUGUUGGGAUAUCAUCGAUGAAACUUUAAUUUGUUAAAGGCUUGAAGAGGUACUUAUGCUUUGGGGAAAACAGGUUGAUGGAGGAGUUCUUGCAUUGGCAACUUCCCAUCUCUUCAACUCUUAGGUCUUCAAGAAUUGGUCUACAGAGUUCACAGAAAACAGGUUUAUGCAGACUUUGCCUGACUAUGGAAUUGUUAUCUGCUCACAGAGAUAUCGUCUGGAUGGGUGAAGAGUACAUUUGUGCAAGGAUGUCAAGCAAUCCAUAAAUUGCCAAUCUUGAGGAUUAAG